UGACUAGAGGCGCCCAAUGGGUAGUGAGUGGGCGGGGCUGCUUCUGGUUGCUGAGUUACCGUGGUAGACACUACCCAUAAUCCCAUGCGCUAGGAUGACGAGCCCACGGAAAUACCGCCCCGCCCACUUCCGGUACACAUUCUUCCGUCCACGGUGUUAUCUCUCCUGCCGCCUCAUCCUCCAGGUUACACAGUAGUGAAGAAGAUAUCCGGUGAGUGUGAGACACCGAGCAGCCAUCCCCGUGUGUCAGGAAGAAGAAGGACCCAGAGCCUCAUCUCGGUGCCUCCACCUCACUCACUGACACAUGACACAUUGACCAGAAGAUCCUGGAACUCACCAACAAGAUCAUUCAGCUGCUGACUGGAGAGGAGGGGGAGUAUAUAGAGGAACACAGGGGUCUGUACAAGGACGUG